CUAGUAGGCGGCUUAGCAAGUCGGGUGUGAAAACUUCAGGCUCAACCUGGAGCGGCCAUCCGAUACUGCUAUGGCUAGAGUCCGGUAGGGGACCACGGAAUUCCUGGUGUAGCGGUGAAAUGCGCAGAUAUCAGGAGGAACACCGGUGGCGAAGGCGGUGGUCUGGGCCGGAACUGACGCUGAAUAGCGAAAGCGUGGGUAGCGAACA
rnacentral:rRNA from 1 species